AUGGUAUACCGGGGUUAGUAGUAGAAACAGCAGCAGCUGUUUGAUUUAAUUGAGAUUCAAUCAUUUUAUUAAAGCUAAUUUGAUUCUUGAUGGCAGUAGAGAAAUUAUCCAUUCUAUUAUUUAUAUUUUCUAGCAUUUUAUCAUUUGAUGCCAAUUUCUUAGACAGGUUAUCCAUUAGCUUUCCUUGAUUAGACACUAACUCUCUCAAAGG
rnacentral:lncRNA from 1 species